GCUGUUUUAACUAUAAUAUCUAAGAGUGAAUACCUGGGGUCUGAUCUAGUGUUUGUCUUGUGUUUCAGCUAUAAUCUGAUUACAUUUAAUUAAAUUUUAGCCAUAUUGUUUGAAUUUACCAUUUCUGGAAGAAUCUUAGCUUUGAAAUAUGUUCUUAGGUAUUGAAGCUAAGGCUGAAAGGCUAUUGGAAGAACUUGAUAAUGGAGUGCUGUUAUGCCAAAUGAUUGAUGUUCUUCAUAACAUGGUGAAAACAUGCAACUCUGAAGAACCUGUGAACUGAAGAAUGGACAUGUCUCAGGUACCACAAGAGGAAGCAAGAGAAAGCUCCAUGGCAAGAAACUGAAGCAUGUGCUGGAAUGCCAUCCAAAAAAUACAAGUUGAGUCUUUUCUGGGUACACAUAGUCUGUGGAAAGGAUAUUUUGAAGUCCUGUGGUCAUCAAGCAGGUAUCCUUGGGUUCCAAAGGCAAUAGAAAGCUAGAGGCAUGGAUGUAAUCUAGAGUAAAGAUCUAUAUCAUGGUCCUCCAGGGCACAUUGUACCCAUACAUGCUGGAGUCCCUCUGUCCACUGCCUUUGUUCCUUCAGAGAAGGUCAAAGAUGACCUUUGAGGAAGAUAACACUAAGAUUUUAUCUAAAGUGAAAUAAAAUCCAGAAAAAAAUAGAAUGAGAAGAAAAUGAUAACCAAC
rnacentral:lncRNA from 1 species